rnacentral:rRNA from 1 species
AGUGAACGCUGGCGGUAGGCCUAACACAUGCAAGUCGAACGGCAGCACAGGAGAGCUUGCUCUCUGGGUGGCGAGUGGCGGACGGGUGAGGAAUACAUCGGAAUCUACUUUUUCGUGGGGGAUAACGUAGGGAAACUUACGCUAAUACCGCAUACGACCCACGGGUGAAAGCAGGGGACCUUCGGGCCUUGCGCGAUUGAAUGAGCCGAUGUCGGAUUAGCUAGUUGGCGGGGUAAAGGCCCACCAAGGCGACGAUCCGUAGCUGGUCUGAGAGGAUGAUCAGCCACACUGGAACUGAGACACGGUCCAGACUCCUACGGGAGGCAGCAGUGGGGAAUAUUGGACAGUGGGCGCAAGCCUGAUCCAGCCAUACCGCGUGGGUGAAGAAGGCCUUCGGGUUGUAAAGCCCUUUUGUUGGGAAAGAAAUCCAGCUGGCUAAUACCCGGUUGGGAUGACGGUACCCAAAGAAUAAGCACCGGCUAACUUCGUGCUAGCAGCCGCCGCAG